ACCUGCGAAGAUGAAUGAAGCGCAUUCAUGAAUCUCAAGCGUCAUUUAUCAGACUGCCUCAUUAAAUAAGACGCUUUAGUGAUGUUCUAUCCAUAAGUACAUUCAUGAUUCGUGUAAAAGUAACGCAAGAGAUCAAGCAAGAACACACUAGAAUUUUACGGUAUCAAAAUAUAGUUUUAACUCUUUAAAAAUAAAAAUUUCUACUAUUUUUGAACGACUAAUGUAUACAUUAAUAUUGUUCAAAUGCGUAUAAUCUUUAUAGACAAGCAUUUAUGUUUUACAUUUUUUCUAAACUAUAUUUUUUAGGAUCAAUAAGCAACCAUCCUCCAACUUUUUCCUGCAUCGAACAUCGAGUUAGAUUGUUAAACAGUCACGUGUUUGAUAGAUCGUCUCCUCGAGAAGCCACAAGUGAAGUACUAUUUGCAAGAAAAGCCGGUUCUUUCGACGGAACAACAGAGAGAGAGAGUCGUCAUAAAAAUACAAACGAGGAACAGGAGCAUCAGAUAAAAUCAAUCUGUCGAAAGACGUGCGGAAAUAUUCCUGCCGGUUGGGAUGAAUGAAACAUACGUGGGAAGCGCCACGCAAUGUAGGAAAAUAGCUUUUAAAGGAAAUGCUCGUCGGCUACGGAUUCCCGACGAUUUCCUGACACUAUCCGUAUUAUGAUCAAACGCGGUAACAGGAGAAACAAAUCCAUCGCACCAGCGAAUAUUGAAUAAUUCAACUGAGUCUAUCCUUGGGCGUCUACAAAGCAGAAGAGAGACAGAGGGAAACGAGCGAGUUAUGUCACGCGAAAAGGGUGACGAUGUAUUGUCUCGCUUCUUGCACAAUGAAGUGACUAAAGUUCUAUCUAUUUUACGUUUAUCAGAGAAACGCAAAGCAAGACAAAUAUACUGGAAAAGAAAUAUCCUCGCACACUCGGCUAGCCGCGAUGAAGACUAAGGAGAAGAAAAACUUUAAAAAGCCUCAUGACGACAAUAUUUAACGUGCAUACAUAUAAAAUAUCUCGGACUGCUCUGGAGGGAGAUAGUAACACAGAUACAGCCUAUGUUAAUUUCAAUAGAUUACGCAGUCACGAUAAUUAUAUGGUUCAUACGUAUUUCAAGGCUGACUCGGAAAUUUCUGUUUACAUUAGUGUUUUUCGAACUAUGAGUCGUGAUUCAUUAUUGAAACGUCUUUGUGCGAGCCGCAGACCACAGUCCACGCACAUCACGCACGUUUCACCAGAAGCGACAUUUCAUUGUGUGUAUGUGGAAAGUCUCAUUUAUCGACAAAAAAAAAGACGUUUCCCCGUAUUCAUGAUGCAAUUGUGAUCCGUGUGAACACGAGCUUUCAAGGAACAGAAAUAACCGCAAUUCUCAUGACUUCUAAUAGACAGGACAAAAAAUUUUGUGUGUGAAUAACACUGCGCAAAAUAUCCUACACUAAUAAUUCUUUUUUAAAGAAUUUUUAUAAUAAAAUAUAUUUUCUCAGAGAGAUUUUUCCUUAGAUUUCUCGUAAGAAAUAGUCUAAAAAAAGUUAUAUAAAAAGUUGUAUAAAAAAUUAAAGCAUAUAUGCGAUAGACUUUUAAGCUUAAUAUAGAUGAUCUUUUUUUUUUAGUCAAUGUCACGAGAGCCCAACACCUGAAGGUCUCAAACAGAUGCUAUAUCCAGAACAUUUCGUAUUUGUCAAACACAUUACAUACUGAUCGAGAAUGCUCCGCAUGACUCCGCAUAAGGACCCACAAGAUCGUCUACGAAACAAAUUCACGAUCGCUAACUUUGCGAAAGGCGUUUUAUGCGAAGCUCGUGCCCGCUCGCAUGCCUGGGCGGCACGCACCACGAUCCUAUUAAUAUCUCGCAAGAGAGCGUAAAAGGGCGCAAAUGCGAAAGACACCGAGGGGGGAAGCUGGCGACGCAGAGAUAUUUUUAAAGACAUCGAUUUUCGCGAUUUGCCCUUCUCUCAAGCCGGAUUUAAUUAGAUAAGAAACGAGGCAAAACCGUUCGUGUUCAGCCGUGAUUUGGCGGAAGAGGAACGUGGAAAAAAAUGCGCGACUGGGAAGGAAGAGCCUUUCCAUUUGUGGCGCGCAAUUAAGCGCCGCGCGCUCGCGCGACUGCGUUAUUCAUCGCCCGUUAACCGUAUAAUUAGCCAAUUGCUAAUUGCCCGAGUUCACAUGAGCCUGAGCGACGGGGGCCAGUUUGCUUGGCCCAGGCGCAUUAAUCACUCGGUCGUCUCAUAUGAUCCUCUCGACACGAAUCGAAUCAGGUCAACGUAAUGUCAGAGGAACAUCAAGUGUCUUGGUCAAAAGUAUAAUGUGCAAUUGUAACAAAAGCUUUAGCACUCGAUGUGUGCAUAAAUUAGCAAGAUUAUCUCCCACUUUUAUAGUUGUAGCAAUCCUUUCUAUAAAUAUUAUUCAUUAAGUUAAAUACAAUUUAACCCUUUGUCUUUUUCAUUUCUUUACUUCUAAUUUUACAAGGUUUUGUUGAAAAUAUAAUAAUAGACUUUAUGUUAACUAAUACCUAGAAGAUAUUGAUGCAAAAUAACUUGGAAUCUUAAAUAUUAUACUCUAGCACUCCAUUUACAACCUCUUAUGAUAAUUAAACUCUUAGUAAUUAUCCUGAAUGUAAUAAGAGAACGACUAGAUAAAAUUGAACAAAAACUUCUUAUUUUGUAUUAAUAAAUGAUAGAUACUUUUAC